UGUAAAUGCAUGUGAUAUCGCUGUAGCAGCAGAGUUGUAGCAGUGAAGCCCUCCUUGUGUGCAGGCAGCUUAUGUCAGCAGAAUGAGGCUCUUUUUUGAGCAGAACUUUACUGAGCACCAUCAGCUAUAUCAGCAAAAACACUGAAUACCAAUAUAACUACAUCCUCGUUAGGACCUCAGGGCCCAUAGUAUUUUAAUGUCUAACUACUUUCUAGGUGCUUAAAUAUUUUUGAGGAUCUGGACCUAUUUAUUGAGACUAUGGAAUUUACCCUCUUUCCAUCCCUGACAAACAGGUUCAGAGCAGAUGUGGUUUCACUUUAUCAGUGGCUGCAGAGUGCUCUGUGAAACUCUGGUAAAGAGCCCAGAGCUCAGCAGAGCAUGAUCAAACUGCUAUGGCUGACUUCAAGGGCAACAUAACUGCUGUUGCUGCUUCUGACUGUGCUCUUAAUACUGCAGGAGACUGGACAGGUUCUUCCUUAUUCACCUUUUCCUGGGAGAACAACAGAACUAAAAGCAGUGUUCCCUUGAAAAUGAUGUUGCUAAUAGUUUUCAUUUCAUCCUUUCAUUCAUUUCAAUAGCAUCCAUACUGAUGCUAUUACAAAGGUGGCACAUGAGAAGACAGCAUAUUGCAGAGAAGAAAGACAGUGAGGACAAGGCUCUAGUACCUGAGCAGUGAUCAGACCUUAGCUUGGAGAGCAAGGAAGGAGCAAUUUGCCACCUUUCCAGUACCAAGCGCAGUUUUGCAGGUUCUUAUUUCUUCCCUCUCUUCAGAAAAAAAUUAGUGAAGGAAGAAGAUGGACAAGUUGGCAAAAGACAUGGCUAAAGGAGCUUUUUUUUUUUUAAUGUUCAACUUUCUACUUGCAGACAGAGUCAAUUCAAGUCAUCCAAUAGAAAAUUAUCCCAUGGAAAAUUUUCUUUCAGCUUGUGAACUGAACUGAAUUGGUAGCUGGAGGAAGGUAGCCAUAGAUUAGAUGUAAGGGGAAACUACCCCAUCUGUGCAGCAAACUGCUUUUAAAUUACAAAAUCUAAUAUUAGGGGUGAUGGGAGCACAGAAAGGACCUGAAGUUCAGUUCAGAGAAAAAGGUCAAUACAGGAAAACAGAAGGCUGCUGUCUCUCCUUUUGGCAAGCAUAUUAUUAUAGAUAAGAGAGAGAGAGACUUUGCCAUAGAGUGAAAUGGGGCAAAGGAGAAAUUUAACAGAGCCCUUAACUACCCAUAACUAGGUAGUUAAAAACUUGCCCUUCAAAGUCAAAGGAAGUAAAAGACAUACUUAACUUGAGGAAAUGAAAAAUGUUAGAGGCUGUGCACUACCAAGAGGGAAAACCUACCAGGACCAGGGAUUGCUACUUGGCCUUGGAUCAGAGAGACAGUGUGAUGCUGCAGGCAGGACUGAACACUCAUGUCUUUCCCACUCACACUGCUCACAGUGUGUGUUGCUCAGCAGCAGCCAGACAGGGCUACAAAGCUCUGUGCUUGAGUCUCGACUGCAGGGGAGACAUGUCUGUGUCCAACAAGUGUGAGAGGAAACCAUGGGAAAUGUUUCAUAGGUAUAAAUUCAUAGGAAAUUUAUAAAUAUUCAUAGGCAAAUCACAUCUCCAGUGAAAAUGCUGGCCUGCGUGGUUGCUGUAUCGGGCAUGGCCAUAAGAGGGAAGUGUGUGCUCAGGCAUUAGGUGCUUUCUCAGGGCUGGAGCAGCCCCAGCUGUGUUGGCUGUGGGCUCUGCAAGCACCAUGGAUCUGCCUGGGUCAUACCUCCUUUGCAGGGCUAAAAGCAGGGCCAGUGCCUUUGGAGGUGUGUGAGCUCAGCCACAGCCAAGUGUGCAGGUAGCGAUGAUGGGGAUGGGGUGAGAGGGGAGCAAGGGUGGGAAAGUGAAUUGUCACUUCCUGGAGAUAGGGGAGGAUGAGAUGUGCAACCGUGAGCAGUCCUGAGAGAACUGGAGAUAUCUUGUCCAGAGAUGAUGGGCAGUCAGGUGGGGAAAUCUCAUUUCAGUUUUCUCCUCACACAUACACAGAUGUCUGGUUGUAUUAGCUGGAUCAUACUCAGAUUAGGGCAUUCAGGCUUGAGGUUGGUGACACUGAGGUGCUUUUAGGAAGCGUAGGGGACCUCAGGAGAAAGAAAGCUGAAGUCAGCAAGCUUGAAAGAUUUACAAAGAAGAAUAAAGGUCCAAAAGGAUAUGGGCAGGCAACCCUGCUAGCUCUCCAAGGGAGACAUUUUGCCUGAAGCACUUCUAAUAGCAUUUUGUUGGCAACAUAAUAGAGCACACAAGCUGUGUAGCAGUAACAAAUGGGUCUUGGUUGUUAGCAGCCCUGUCAGACUCAGGUGACUGCUACCCUCAGUCAUGGGCCAUUCCUGACUGCAUGCCUUUGAUACAUCCUUGUUAAAACUCACCACUGCACAAGGCAGAAAAUGACACUUCGGCCAUGUAAUAUGGGAACUUGAGGCUUCACCAAGUCUGUGCCUGUGACUCCCAUGGACCCUGCCAGCUGGAGCUGCUGGAGAUCCUGCAGGGACCCACAGGGUGCUUUGAGGAGAAACUACUAUGAUUGAUUUCCUGUAGUUACUGGCCAAGAAAUGUGAGCAGCAAGGUCCACUCAGGAGCACCAAAUGACCAGAUCACCAGCUUCCCAUAAGCUGGCUCUGCAGAGAGGCAUUCAGGCUUCUCCUUACAGAUCUGCUUCUCUGGGAUUUUUUUUUUUCCUGAAGCAGAAGCAGAGGAAAAUGAAUGGGACAGAGCGGAAUUUAUUAUUUGUUCAUGCCACAGCAUGAAAACAAAAUGUAUCUAAGAAUUAACUGCACAAGAGCUGUGUGGUGGCAAGGCUAGGGGAGACAAGGUGGGUGCAUCUUUUAGUGCCUGGCUAAGCAUGUGCUUAUCUUGUGCUCCCACAGAGCUCCUGCACAUCUUAUGUCUUUGCAGUAGAGACAUACAACAACCUAUAGUUGUAGGAGCAGGUACAGUGUAGUUAUCCACAGGCAUAGGUGACAUGAGGGGGAGAGAGCUGAAGGAGUGUGAAUUGCUGUGUAUGAUCUAUGGACAGCAGUGUUGCCCAGCAGGGAUGUGUUGUGUAGCUGUGGGCUGCAGGCAGGGGGUUGCUGUGCUGGGAAUGGCUACAAGUACCCACACGAGGUCACUUGGCAGUUAAAUGAGGUGAAGAAUUACCAUGGUGACUGCACUCCUCUCCCAGACAGAUGCCAGGCUUCCCAGCAAUAAUAUUUGUGCAUUGCUCUAGCACCCCCAAACUCUCUCUCCCUCUGUUCGGAAAGGGUGAGGACCAUGCUGCCCCAUCUCCAGACUGGGAGAAUGGUAAACAUUAGGAUAUGGAGUGGUUUCUGCAUACGCCUUCUUUCAGCAGAAGGGGCCACUGUCUGGGCACCUCCUACACUGGUCCCUACUGCAGUAAUAGGCAGAAGGGCUGUGGUUCGAAUUACUGUGAUACAGUGUGGUUCUUGCACUGUGUGUCUGCUUAGUGUCGCCAGGAGCAUCGAGGUCUGAGCCAGCUGCCAGCCCUUAGGCAUGUGAAGAGAAGGCUGUGUGUUGGAGGACAUCACACCUGCACUGCAAGAGGUGCCCCAGGGAGCAUCAUAGUGAACAACUCCAAUCCUGCUGCCACCAGGAGCUUGGAGCUCACCAGCAACAGUGCCAAUACCUUCGUCCUCCAAAGACCUUGAAAAUUUAGUUCAUGGAACGUGUGGAAGCCGUGGGGCCUACUGCCAAGUGUGGUAAAUUUGAAAGCUUGUAUUUUCAAAUGGUAUCUAAGAGAUUAUUGGAUGGAAACACAAUCAGUAGCACAAAUUAAGAGAUCAGAAUUAAACAAGUUGUAUUUGAGCACCAAAAAGUUAAAGACCGGAAUCUGAAGACCUGAAAGCUGCAAAUUCAAGGAAAAAAUAUUCUAGGCAUUUAAUGGAAAAUUACAAGAAA